rnacentral:rRNA from 1 species
AUUGAACGCUGGCGGCAGGCCUAACACAUGCAAGUCGAACGAGUGGCGGACGGGUGAGUAAUGUCUGGGAAACUGCCUGAUGGAGGGGGAUAACUACUGGAAAAGGUAGCUAAUACCGCAUACCAUCAGAUGUGCCCAGAUGGGAUUAGCUAGUAGGUGGGGUAACGGCUAACCUAGGCGACGAUCCCUAGCUGGUCUGAGAGGAUGACCAGCCACACUGGAACGGAGACACGGUCAAGACUCCUACGGGAGGCAGCAGUGGGGAAUAUUGCACAAUGGGCGCAAGCCUGAUGCAGCAAUGCCGCGUGUGUGAUGAAGGCCUUCGGGUUGUAAAGCACUUUCAGCGGGGAGGCGUUACCCGAAGAAGAAGCACCGGCUAACUCCGUGCCAGCAGCCGCGGUAAUAC